rnacentral:rRNA from 1 species
UAGGGAAUCUUCCACAAUGGACGCAAGUCUGAUGGAGCAACGCCGCGUGAGUGAAGAAGGUUUUCGGAUCGUAAAGCUCUGUUGAUGGUGAAGAAGGAUAGAGGUAGUAACUGGCCUUUAUUUGACGGUAAUCAACCAGAAAGUCACGGCUAACUACGUGCCAGCAGCCGCGGUAAUACGUAGGUGGCAAGCGUUGUCCGGAUUUAUUGGGCGUAAAGCGAGCGCAGGCGGAAGAAUAAGUCUGAUGUGAAAGCCCUCGGCUUAACCGAGGAACUGCAUCGGAAGCUGUUUUUCUUGAGUGCAGAAGAGGAGAGUGGAAUUCGUGUAGCGGUGGGAUGCGUAGAUAUAUGGAAGAACUCCAGUGGCGAAGGCGACUCUCUGGUCUGCAACUGACGCUGAGGCUCGAAAGCAUGGGUAGCGAACAGG